rnacentral:rRNA from 1 species
UGGGGAAUUUUGGACAAUGGGGGAAACCCUGAUCCAGCCAUCCCGCGUGUGCGAUGAAGGCCUUCGGGUUGUAAAGCACUUUUGGCAGGAAAGAAACGUCAUGGGUUAAUACCCCGUGAAACUGACGGUACCUGCAGAAUAAGCACCGGCUAACUACGUGCCAGCAGCCGCGGUAAUACGUAGGGUGCAAGCGUUAAUCGGAAUUACUGGGCGUAAAGCGUGCGCAGGCGGUUCGGAAAGAAAGAUGUGAAAUCCCAGAGCUCAACUUUGGAACUGCAUUUUUAACUACCGGGCUAGAGUGUGUCAGAGGGAGGUGGAAUUCCGCGUGUAGCAGUGAAAUGCGUAGAUAUGCGGAGGAACACCGAUGGCGAAGGCAGCCUCCUGGGAUAACACUGACGCUCACGCACGAAAGCGUGGGGAGCAAACAGG